AUGGACGCCGCCGAGCAGCUGCCAGCACCGGCCGCGGCGACGCGCGCGCUGGUGCACGCGCAGCCGCCGGUCCACCCCUGGUCCACGGGCCUGUUCGACUGCGCCGAGGACCCCGGGAACUGCUGGAUGACGUGCUUCUGCCCGUGCAUCACCUUCGGGCUGGUGGCGGAGAUCGUGGACCGCGGCUCCCUCUCCAGCGGGGCGAGCGCGGCGCUGUACGUGCUCAUCGGGAUGGUCACCUCCUGGUGGUUCCUGCCCAUCUACACCUGCUUCUACCGCACCAAGAUGCGCGCCCAGUACGGCCUCCAGGAGGCCCCCUACCCGGACCUCUGCGUCCACUGCUUCUGCGAGUGCUGCGCCCUCUGCCAGGAGUACCGCGAGCUCCACAACCGCGGCUUCGUCAUGGACAUCGGAUGGCACGCCAACAUGGAGCUGCAGCAGCGCGGCGGCGCGGCGACCGUGCCGCCCACCAUGCACGUAGACGGGAUGACACGCUGA
rnacentral:rRNA from 1 species